UUAGAGUUUGAUCAUGGCUCAGGACGAACGCUGGCGGCGUGCUUAACACAUGCAAGUCGAACGGAAAGGCCCCUUCGGGGGUGCUCGAGUGGCGAACGGGUGAGUAACACGUGGGUGAUCUGCCCUGCACUUCGGGAUAAGCUUGGGAAACUGGGUCUAAUACCGGAUAGGACCACGGCCUGCAUGGGUUGUGGUGGAAAGCUUUUGCGGUGUGGGAUGGGCCCGCGGCCUAUCAGCUUGUUGGUGGGGUGAUGGCCUACCAAGGCGACGACGGGUAGCCGGCCUGAGAGGGUGUCCGGCCACACUGGGACUGAGAUACGGCCCAGACUCCUACGGGAGGCAGCAGUGGGGAAUAUUGCACAAUGGGCGCAAGCCUGAUGCAGCGACGCCGCGUGGGGGAUGACGGCCUUCGGGCG
rnacentral:rRNA from 1 species